UACGUAGGGACCGAGCGUUGUCCGGAAUCAUUGGGCGUAAAGAGCGUGUAGGCGGCCACUUAAGUCCUGCGUGAAAUCUUGCGGCUCAACCGCAAGCGGUCGUGGGAAACUGGGUGGCUAGAGUGCGGAAGAGGAGAGUGGAAUUCCCGGUGUAGCGGUGAAAUGCGCAGAUAUCGGGAAGAACACCCGUGGCGAAGGCGGCCCCCUGGGCCGGCCCCUGACACUGAGACGCGAAGGCGUGGGGAGCGAACGGGG
rnacentral:rRNA from 1 species